rnacentral:rRNA from 1 species
UACGUAGGGUGCGAGCGUUAAUCGGAAUUACUGGGCGUAAAGCGUGCGCAGGCGGUGAUGUAAGACAGAUGUGAAAGCCCCGGGCUCAACCUGGGAAUGGCGAUGGAAACUGGCGAGCUAGAGUACGGUAGAGGAGAGUGGAAUUCCCGGUGUAGCAGUGAAAUGCGUAGAGAUCGGGAGGAACAUCAGUUGCGAAGGCGGCUCUCUGGACCAGUACUGACGCUGAGGCACGAAAGCGUGGGGAGCAAACAGG